UACAGAGGGUGCAAGCGUUGUUCGGAAUUAUUGGGCGUAAAGCGCGUGUAGGCGGCUUUGCAAGUCGGGUGUGAAAGCCCUCAGCUUAACUGAGGAAGUGCGCCCGAAACUGCAGAGCUUGAGUACCGGAGAGGAUGGCGGAAUUCCCCAAGUAGAGGUGAAAUUCGUAGAUAUCGAGAGGAACACCGGUGGCGAAGGCGGCGAUCUGGACGAUGACUGACGCUGAGACGCGAAAGCGUGGGGAGCAAACAGG
rnacentral:rRNA from 1 species